AAAACUAUAUUUUCAGGAAUCAUUUGUAUAGUUUUUUGUUGGGGGAGUUUUUCGGGACGUGUAGAACGUUGGAAGCCACGAGGAGGAGUUGUUGAGUUAUGUUUGAGUGUAAAGUUGGUUCCAUUGGCGAUCGUUCUUGUUUCUUUCUCGGUGGAUGAGAGAGAGAGCGCUGUCUGAGUGGU
ensembl:snoRNA U3 Small nucleolar RNA U3